GUAGAUGGACUUCCAUAUGCUGAAAAGGCUGCAUGUGGAGGCUAUCAUACCUGUGUUAUUACAGGUGGUGGAGAACUGUACGUGUGGGGCACCAAUGAAAAUGGGUGUCUUGGUAUUGGAUCUACAGAUGUCGCUCAUUUACCUGAAAGAGUUGAAGGACCAUUUUUGAGGCAUUCAGUUUCUGAGGUAUCCUGUGGUUGGAAGCAUACAGCAGCAAUUUCUGGAGGAAAUGUUUACACUUGGGGAUGGGGAGGCUCCCAUGGGACGUUUUCUGUAGAUGGACAUUCUUCUGGCGGACAACUGGGUCAAGGAAAUGAUGUUGAUUACAUUAAGCCUACAAAAAUCAACUUUCGUAGACACGUAAAAGCAUUGCAAGUAUCCUGUGGGUUUAACCAUACAGGUGCUAUAUUUGAAUACAACUAGUUGGAACAUCAGUCUCGUUGUUUCUUGUCACGAAGGCAAAAAUAUAAUCUGCUGCUUACGGAAGGUUUGCGAAUUAGCUAAAUCUGACCUAAAUUCAAUUUCACGAUCACAUAUAUAAGCAGUCUGUUAUUGCAGCUAUACACUCCGCUUAACGAUUUGAAUGUAACCUUCAUACUAAACCUGUUUAUACCCAGUUUGUACCUUAUAAAUUCUAGCUUGUAUCAAAUAGAAUACGGAAA
rnacentral:misc_RNA from 1 species